rnacentral:rRNA from 1 species
AGGAUGAACGCUAGCGGCAGGCCUAAUACAUGCAAGUCGGACGGGAUUCCCGACCUCGGUUGGGAUGAGAGUGGCGCACGGGUGCGUAACACGUAUGUAACCUACCUUUGUCAGGGGGAUAGCCUCUCGAAAGAGAGAUUAAGCCCGCAUAAAAUGAAGACACAGCAUUGUGAUUUCAUCAAAUAUUUAUAGGACGGAGAUGGGCAUGCGGAACAUUAGCUAGUUGGUAAGGUAAUGGCUUACCAAGGCUACGAUGUUUA